rnacentral:lncRNA from 1 species
AGAUUCCACACAGGCACCUCUAGAAAAUAAUGCAGCCAGCCAAUCCUUAGACUUUAUCCCAGUGAGAGUCAAGUUGGACUUCUGACCUACAAAAGGGUAUUGCUUCCAUCCACAUGGCUGAAGAAGAUUCGUCAGGAAACAGCUUUUCCUGCUUUGGCAUCAAAACCAUAUCAACAAAAGCCCAAACCGCCCUUUGACACAGCCGACAAAGAUCCUGACAGAUAAAUUGGUGUGGGCCUGUCUUUCUGGGACCUUCU